AAAUCAACCAUUUUUAAUUUGCCGAACUUCCUGAAAUAUUUUGAAUUUACAAAUCCAUUCUGUAACAAUAUAAUUCAUGUUCAAACCAAGCAAACUUUAUUUAUUUAUCAUCAUGGAAAAAAGAAAUACUUCCAAACCAACAAAACUGCUUUGAUUGGUACAUGCGCUACCCAUAGGCAAAAGUCUAAAAAUAAAUUCCUAAUUUUAUUACCCCCAUCAUUCUUAACCUGUCAA